rnacentral:rRNA from 1 species
CUACGGAAGGCAGCAGGGAGGAAUAUUGGGCAAUGGGGGAAACCCUGACCCAGCAACGCCGCGUGAAGGAUGAAGGCCUUCGGGUUGUAAACUUCUGUGACAGGGGAAGAAAGAAAUGACGGUACCCUGAGAGGAAGCCACGGCAAACUACGUGCCAGCAGCCGCGGUAAUACGUAGGUGGCGAGCGUUGUCCGGAAUCACUGGGCGUAAAGGGCGCGUAGGCGGCGAUGCAAGUCGCAUGUGAAAUACCAGGGCUUAACCUUGGGGUGUCAUGCGAAACUGCAUUGCUUGAGUGCAGUAGAGGAAAGCGGAAUUCCUGGUGUAGCGGUAAAAUGCGUAGAGAUCAGGAGGAACACCGGUGGCGAAGGCGGCUUUCUGGGCUGUAACUGACGCUGAUGCGCGAAAGCGUGGGGAGCAAACAGGAUUAGAUACCCUAGUAC